rnacentral:rRNA from 1 species
GAUGAACGCUGGCGGCGUGCCUAAUACAUGCAAGUCGAGCGAACAGACGAGGAGCUUGCUCCUCUGACGUUAGCGGCGGACGGGUGAGUAACACGUGGAUAACCUACCUAUAAGACUGGGAUAACUUCGGGAAACCGGAGCUAAUACCGGAUAAUAUAUUGAACCGCAUGGUUCAAUAGUGAAAGACGGUUUUGCUGUCACUUAUAGAUGGAUCCGCGCCGCAUUAGCUAGUUGGUAAGGUAACGGCUUACCAAGGCAACGAUGCGUACCCGACCUGAGAGGGUGAUCGGCCACACUGGAACUGGGACACGGUCCAGACUCCUACGGGAGGCAGCAGUAGGGAAUCUUCCGCAAUGGGCGAAAGCCUGACGGAGCAACGCCGCGUGAGUGAUGAAGGUCUUCGGAUCGUAAAACUCUGUUAUUAGGGAAGAACAAAUGUGUAAGUAACUAUGCACGUCUUGACGGUACCUAAUCAGAAAGCCACGGCUAACUACGUG